rnacentral:rRNA from 1 species
UGAAUACGAGACGCUAAGGCGUCGAAGUAGUGUAUGUCAUACUUCCAAGAAAAGCUUGCACUGUCAUAGAUAAAAAACGCCUGUACCAUAACCGACACAGGUGGGUAGGUAGAGUAUACUAAGGGGCGCGAGAUAACUCUCUCUAAGGAACUCGGCAAAAUAACUCCGUAACUUCGGGAGAAGGAGCGCCUUAUUCGUAAGGUUGCAAUAACAAGAUCCAAGCAACUGUUUAUCAAAAACACGGGUCUCCGCUAAGUCGUAAGACGAUGUAUGGGGGCUGACGCCUGCCCAGUGCCAGAAGGUUAAAGAAGUUGGUUAGCAAUUGCGAAGCUGAUAACUGAAGCCCUGGUGAACGGCGGCCGUAACAAUAACGGUCCUAAGGUAGCGAAAUUCCUUGUCGGGUAAGUUCCGACCCGCACGAAAGGCGUAAUGAUUUGGAUACUGUCUCGGAGAGGGGCUCGGUGAAAUAGACUUGUCUGUGAAGAUGCGGACUACCUGCACCAGGACAGAAAGACCCUAUGAAGCUUUACUGUAACUUGAAAUUGAAAUUGGACUUUAUUCGCGCAGUAUAGGUGGGAGGCGUUGAUUAUAAUCUUGUGGGAUUAUUGGAGCCAUCAGUGAGAUACCACUCUUGUAAUGUUAGAUUUCUAACUUUGAAUCAUUAUCUGGUCAAAGAACAGUUUCAGGCGGGCAGUUUGACUGGGGCGGUCGCCUCCUAAACGGUAACGGAGGCGUACAAAGGUUUCCUCUGAACGGUUAGAAAUCGUAUCUAGAGUGUAAAGGCAUAAGGAAGCUUGACUGUGAGACCUACAAGUCGAGCAGGGACGAAAGUCGGUCUUAGUGAUCUGACGGUACUGAGUGGAAAGGCCGUCACUCAACGGAUAAAAGUUACUCUAAGGAUAACAGGCUGAUCUCCCCCAAGAGUUCACAUCGACGGGGAGGUUUGGCACCUCGAUGUCGGCUCAUCGCAUCCUGGGGCGGUAGUACGUCCCAAGGGUUGGGCUGUUCGCCCAUGAAAGCGGUACGCGAGCUGGGUUCAGAACGUCGUGAGACAGUUCGGUCCAUAUCCGGUGUAGGCGUUAGAAUAUUGAGAGGAGCCUUCUUUAGUACGAGAGGACCGAGAAGGACAUACCUCUGGUGUACCAGUUAUCGUGCCAACGGUAAACGCUGGGUAGCUAUGUAUGGAGUGGAUAACCGCUGAAAGCAUCUAAGUGGGAAGCCCACCUCAAGAUAAGUAUUCUCU